ACAAGGGUAAGGGAGGAUUUCUCCCCCCUCUGAUGAGUUGUUAGUAAGUCGGGAAACUUAACAGUAACAACACAACCAGUAUGAUGACGAGCUUCAUCAUAACCCUUUCCUUAUACAAGGCCCCUUCUUCGGGAGGGGCUUU
rnacentral:ncRNA from 7 species